GACGAACGCUGGCGGCGUGCUUAACACAUGCAAGUCGAACGGAAAGGCCCUGCUUUUGUGGGGUGCUCGAGUGUCGAACGGGUGAGUAACACGUGAGUAACCUGCCCUUGACUUUGGGAUAACUUCAGGAAACUGGGGCUAAUACCGGAUAGGAGCUCCUGCUGCAUGGUGGGGGUUGGAAAGUUUCGGCGGUUGGGGAUGGACUCGCGGCUUAUCAGCUUGUUGGUGGGGUAGUGGCUUACCAAGGCUUUGACGGGUAGCCGGCCUGAGAGGGUGACCGGCCAAAUUGGGACUGAGAUACGGCCGAGACUCCUACGGGAGGCAGCAGUGGGGAAUAUUGCACAAUGGGCGGAAGCCUGAUGCAGCAACGCCGCGUGAGGGAUGACGGCCUUAGGGUUGUAAACCGCUUUCGCCUGUGAGGAAGCGGGAGUGACGGUAAUGGGUAAAGAAGAACCGGAUAACUACGUG
rnacentral:rRNA from 1 species